AUUGAACGCUGGCGGCAUGCCUUACACAUGCAAGUCGAACGGCAGCACGGACUUCGGUCUGGUGGCGAGUGGCGAACGGGUGAGUAAUAUAUCGGAACGUGCCCUGGAGUGGGGGAUAACUAGUCGAAAGAUUAGCUAAUACCGCAUACGAUCUACGGAUGAAAGUGGGGGAUCGCAAGACCUCAUGCUCGUGGAGCGGCCGAUAUCUGAUUAGCUAGUUGGUGGGGUAAAAGCCUACCAAGGCAUCGAUCAGUAGCUGGUCUGAGAGGACGACCAGCCACACUGGGACUGAGACACGGCCCAGACUCCUACGGGAGGCAGCAGUGGGGAAUUUUGGACAAUGGGGGCAACCCUGAUCCAGCAAUGCCGCGUGAGUGAAGAAGGCCUUCGGGUUGUAAAGCUCUUUUGUCAGGGAAGAAACGGUUCUGGCUAAUAUCCGGAGCUAAUGACGGUACCUGAAGAAUAAGCACCGGCUAACUACGUGC
rnacentral:rRNA from 1 species